rnacentral:lncRNA from 1 species
AAAUCAAAUGUACACAAUAUCUUUUCACAAAUCCAACCCUACAAAGGAUAAUAGAUGAAAAAACACCAACACAAGGAGGGAAACUACACCCUAGAAGAAGCAAGAAAGUAAUCUUUGUAACAAACCCACACAAACAUAAUUCCACCUCUAACAAGAAAAUUAACAGGAAGUAACCAUCACUUUUCCUUAAUAUUUCUUAAUAUGAAAAUUAAUAUUACCAACAAACCCUAAUUGACAUUCAAAAGUAUGAGGAAAUAGAAAGGUCAGCUGUCAUCCCGUGGUCUCUCUAAUUUGGUAAUGGGAGAAAUAGGUCCAAUAUUGUACAAUCCAUAUACACUUUCUGCUUGUUUGUACAUGACAGGGUCUUGCUGGGUACCAUAUAAUGGUCUUGACAUCAUGCUUCUCCUAUCUCAGCCUCUCUAUUAGUAGGAGUGUUUAUUUGCUGUUUUUACACUAUAUUAUGGUUUUCAGAACAGCUUAAAUAUUUCAAAAUUUUUAUACAGCCAAAAGAAAUGUAGGCAAUUAAUUUGGGAGGUGGCUUGUAAGAGAACAGCAAAGAGUGAGAUUGAAGGCUUUGCUUCAUAUUUAUAAUUAUUGUAUCAAUUUUGAAGAACGACUUUAUAAGUUACUCUUAUUCUGAGAUGAAUGCUUUUCAAAACCAUCACAGCCAAUGAACCAGAAUCUUACCCUCACCUAGCAUCUGUGCCACCCUCCAAGAAGAACCAGUGUUCAUUGAAGCAGUUAAUGAAUGACUUCAUGGAUAGAUUAUCUUAAUACACACAUCAUUUCUUAAAUGAAUGUAACCUGUUCCCUGCCGGCUAAGAAUGACGACAAUCAACAAUCACUCAAGUCAAAUAGCUUUGACUGUAGCAGGAAGUCUGUAUCCAAAUAUCGUGCCUACAAUUCAUUCCUUGGGCAGCAGAAUUAUCAACUCUUAGCUUAUCACUAUGGAGGUAAAAUCCUUUGGUGAUGUGAGGAACAUUCAAGUACAGUCUUAUUAUAAUGAACUCCAAUGUCCAAAAACUGUUCUUAUUCUGUGUUUGUACAAGAUUUUAAGCUCUACUAAAAACAAACAAAGAGACUUUAUCUGUUUAUGUUCAUUAAAAAAACUAACAGUGAUAUAUUAUUUUAAAAUAUCAUACAGUUAAUAUAUUUGGAGUUAUUUAAAAUUUAUAUUGAGAAAAAUGAAUGUAUUUUCAGUAUUGCUGUAGACAAACAUCUAUAUAAGACUGUUCAAUUGAUUGUUGUUUUAUAUAGAACAACUUUAUAAUACUCGUUUUUACUGUUACAAUAUUUUAUAAAUUUAAAGAAUAUGAUAAAAAAUGAAAGGUAUUGCAGAUUUUGAAGAGGGGGUCUCUGGGAGGAGUUGGGGUACAUAAGGGAAAGAAGAAUGUGAUGUAAGUCUAUUUACUCAAAAUAUGUUUUAAAAUGUUAACAAAUUCAGAAAAAAAAAAUUUUUUUUCUCUGCCCUGCUUACUGAUUCCUGUUUGGUUUCAGCCCCAAGGGGCUGAGGUACAUAUUUUACAUACCAAAGCAGACCUGGCCUCUAGGUUCUCCCAAGCAUCACUCAGUCCCUACCUGGCAUCCCCCACCCCUAAUCCUGAACUUUCCAGCCCUGGGGCCUGGCUGCCCUUCCCCCAGGGCCUCUUCCAUGUAUAAUCCAGACAAUCCACCCCCCCACACAUUACCACUCCCCCUACACACACACACACACACACACACACACACACACACACACACACUCCUUUUUCCUUUUCUUUAAGCAUGCAUUUUCCCGUUUAUUCGUUCUCCUCUCAUUUGUCUCCCUCCCCAUAGUGGCUUCCCCAGCUUCUUUCCUUGGGGCUAGUAAACUUGCCCACCAGAGAGCAGUUUCCUAAUAAACUUGCAUUUAUAUAUAUUUUAAUCUGACUUGAAUGGGCUCAUUUCACCAGCAGAGAAAUAAAUUAUCAAUCCUUUUCAUUUUAUUUCCUUUCUUGAGACAGGGUCACAUUUUUAUUGGGAGAGUCACGUGAGAGAGGAUAGAGUCUCUUACAGCACAGGCUAGCCUUGAAUUUUAAUGUAGCCAAGGAUGACUUUGAACUUUUGAUCCCUCCCAUCUGAAUGCUGAGAUUUGAGGCAAGUAUUAACAAACCCUGUUUAUGCUAUACUUAUGCCCAACAGGCAAGCACUACACCAACUGAGAGCUACAUCCACAGCCCUCAUUUCCUUUUUAUUGUCACUGCAAACUUACUAAUUUAUUAAAAGACAAUUGAAUCUAAUUGCAUGCAUAAUAUAAAGUAACAAAUAAGAUUCCCCUCUCUGCAUAGGAUAAAGCUAUAGUUAUUGUUUGCUGUAAUCCUAAAGGGAUUUUACUUUCACUUACACC